CAGCAGCCGCGGUAAUACGAAGGGUGCAAGCGUUACUCGGAAUUACUGGGCGUAAAGCGUGCGUAGGUGGUGGUUUAAGUCCGUUGUGAAAGCCCUGGGCUCAACCUGGGAAUUGCAGUGGAUACUGGGUCACUAGAGUGUGGUAGAGGAUAGUGGAAUUUCCGGUGUAGCAGUGAAAUGCGUAGAGAUCGGAAGGAACAUCUGUGGCGGAGGCGACUAUCUGGGCCAACACUGACACUGAGGCACGAAAGCGUGGGGAGCAAACAGGAUUAGAUACCCCCGUAGUCCCUGUCUCUUAUAC
rnacentral:rRNA from 1 species